ACAUGCCUACAUCAUAGCGUUAAUGCAUUGGAUCCCAUUAGAACUCCGCAGUUAAGUGCACUCAGGCUAGAGUAGUACUAGGAUGGGUGAUCGCCGAGGAAGUCCUAGUGUUUUACAUGUC
rnacentral:rRNA from 1 species